CGGGGAUUGUAGGCAGACCCCCCGCUUCCCAAGACGCCCCGACGUCCAAGCUCUGC
rnacentral:ncRNA from 1 species